UGGCACCAUGUGGAGUGACAAUGUAAAGUUUUCACCGUACUCCUAUAUUCCCGUCCUUGAGUACGCAUGACAAGAAAGGAUAUCCUAAUUCUAUUCCAAAUGUGGCCUGACCAAAGUCUGAUACAGUUGCAGUACGACUUGCCUUUUAAUACCCUGACCAAUGAAGAUAACCAAUUAAGAUUUCAUGAUAAACUGCCGUUCGGAGGCAUCUUGGGCGGAAGAAGUGAAUACUGUCGAGCGGAUGAAGCUUGACUGGUGGCCAAUGGGAGGCACCAUCAAAAGAAAGCAUAAACAACUCAAGUCCGACAGUGUCUUCUAAUGCCUUAGAAUUAAAAUCUGGAUGGACGCCUCAGAAGGCUAGAACGGAGUCAGAAAUUGGACUUAAAAUGGGCACAGCAUUCACUGCUACAGUUGGUGUGGAAGGCCAUAGAGGAAGAGAUAUCAAUGGAGUGACUAACUGGGCAUCCUGUCUUGUGAAAGGUUAUUCAGAGAUUUGGUGAUGUAUGUAUCAAGUAACAUCGCUUUGGAAGCAAUCUUAAACAAAUCGUUUAGUGGUUAACCAAGUUUUUUCUCUCACUCCUUUUUUGUAUGUAUACACA